CUCGUUGUUCUGUGGUGUUUGAUGUUUUUCAGAAGCCCUUCUGUUGAGGUGGACACCAAGAGUGAGAAUACUUCAUCAUCCGAGGGAGCCAACGGUACCCUGCUGAUCCACAGCCCCGCAGAACUCAAAAGCGGCUGGAGGAAGCAGAAGGGGUACCUCUCCUCAUUUAGUGAUUCGUUGCUUGCGUCUAAUACCACGUAUCAAAAGAACUUUAAGAUAAAAGAUAAAACACCACUGAGAACCAUGUGAACUGCCAACCAUAUACACAAGGCUGGUGAAGCCGGCGUCGUUGCCAGAAAGUCCUUUGUCCUGGGCUGGCCCCCGGUGAGCUUUGUGGCCCCCUUCAGGUGAGACCUACAGCUUGGUGUCCUGGAUCUACGUGGGUUCAAAACGAGGACAUUUUCAUCUGCUUGCAUAUUAAGCCAGUGACUCACUUCUUGACUGACCAUAAUGACACACAUGGGCUUCCCUGGUGGCUCAGUGGUCAAGAAUCUGCCUGUAAUGUAGGAGACUUGCGGAAGAUGCCCACUCAACCCCUGGGUCAGGAAGAUCCCCUGGAGGUGGAAAUGGCAACCCACUCCAGUAUUCUGCCUAGGAAAUCCCAUGGACAGAGGAGCCUGGCGGGCUACAGUCCAUGCGGUUACAGAAAGAGUCGGACACGACUGCGUGGCAUAAACAACAGCAAAUGACACACAUGCCUUGUGCUUUUCCCUCCUAAAAAGGUUCUCAUGUGCAAAUGCAUGCAUGUGGAUAGUAACAGUGGAAAUGACCGCAGUGAUUUCCUUUGGUUUUGAUCAGUGGUUUUUCAGAUGGGCUAUGUGAGCUACUUGGGAAGCCAGAUCCUCUUGUGUUCAUGGUAUCCUUGUAUGAGGAAGGAGGAUCAUGAGAGCAAGACUCUAGGACCCCUCACCAAUAUCCUGCCCUCAAUCCCGAUUAUCUUUCUUGAAAAAGUACAAUUAUAUUUGAAAAACUGACUUUAUACUCCCAAAUUAAUUCCCUUUAAAAUGGGAUUUAAUUAUACACAUAACAUUAAUUGUGUCAUCAAAUACUAGGUUGCCUGAAUUGCUGUGUACAAAUAAUCUUAUUUGGUGUGUGUAGAAGGGUGACAGUAAAACACAGCUACGAUUCCAUGGAGCACAGGUCAGUUUUCCAAUUACAUUCUUAGACUGGAGUGAGGACGGGGAAUGUGAAUAUCCCAAGUUGACAGUCCCGGGUUCACCAGCGUCAUGAAACAUUCACCGCUGCCACUUGGAACAACCACACCCCGUAUCUCAGUCUUGUGCACACACCAGGCCCUCAUCACACGCACGUGACACACUUUCUUGUCCUCCUCACCUGACACCAAAAUCUCUUGUCUCAUCACAGAGCUAAGACAACUAAAAUACUGCCGAGUGGUAAAUUGACUAAAUGCUAGAAUUCAGCUGUUGACUUAAUGAAAACUUUGAAAGCUUUUGGGGAAGAAAUAUGUAUUUGUAUCAUUCUCUGUAUGUCUCCUUUCCAUGACUUAUUUCUCUAAAGAUCCAGUUCCUAUUGCUUAAACAUCUUUUCCAUGUUUUAAGUGAAUGGAAGCAGUUUCAUUUGGGAAUGUGCAGUUUCUGAUAAGGGAGUGUCCAAGAAACUUUUUUCCUAGUGAGGCUAGAAAGGAGGAAGCCAGGUUUACACCUGUUAUUUAGGUUUAAAAGCUGUGUGAGAACAUACAUGGCAUUCAUAACAAUGCCUGACACCUAGUGCUUUGGCCAUUUGCUCUUUUACUCUUCUGCAGGUUGCCAUGAGUAAUUAGAAGCUGUGUUCGGGUAUAUAUGCAGGUUGGGAGCUCAGAGGGCACUCUACUUCCUGGUGAAACAGUUCUUGAAAAGGGGAUGAGGGGUAGGAGCAGUGUUUUGGUAGGAAUAUAAAAUGUGGCAGCCAUAGGAGAACAUACAUAUUCUGGGUAUAUAUCCAAGAGAAAUGAAAACUUACAUCCACACAAAAAACGUAUACACAAAUGCUCGUAGCUGCUUUAUCCACCACAGCCAAAAAAAAAAAAAAAGGAAAUAGCCUAAGUGUUUAUCAAUUAAUGAAUGUAUAAGCCAAACCUGGUAUGGGGCCUGAGGAUGGAGGAGACUGGGGUGUGACUCCUUAAUGCACACAGGGUUUGCCGUUGGGUAGUGAAAAUAUUCCAGAACUAGAUAAUGGUGAUGGUUGCACAAUAUUGUUAAUCUACAGAUGAUCACUAAUUGUCAGUUGUAUGUUAUGCAUAAUUUACCACAAUAAAUAAAAUUUAAUAAGUGAUAAGUCUGUGUAU
ensembl:lncRNA